GUCUGGGAAACCUAUGGCCUUCCAGAUGUUGCUCAACAGCAACUCCCAUCAUCCCUGGUUAUUGGCCAUGCAAGCUGGGGCUGAUGGUGGUUGUGGUUCAGCAACAGCUAGAGGACCAAAGGUUCCCCAGAC